rnacentral:rRNA from 1 species
GACGAACGCUGGCGGCGUGCCUAACACAUGCAAGUCAAAGGAAAGCGGCUUUGGCCGGGAGUACUUGGCGCAAGGGUGAGUAAUGUAUAGGUAAUCUGCCCUUUGGACUGGGAUAACCCCGAGAAAUCGGGGACAAUACCAGAUGAUGCAGCGGAACCGCAUGGUUAUGUUGUUAAAGAUUUAUCGCCAAAGGAUGAACCUAUAUCCCAUCAGGUAGUUGGUAAGGUAACGGCUUACCAAGCCUACGACGGGUAGCUGGUUUGAGAGGAUGAUCAGCCACAUUGGAACUGAGACACGGUCCAGACUCCUACGGGAGGCAGCAGUGAGGAAUAUUGCGCAAUGGGCGAAAGCCUGACGCAGCAACGCCGCGUGGAUGAUGAAGUUUUUCGGAAUGUAAAGUCCUUUUGUAGAGGAAGAAUAUCUUGGUUUACCAGGACUGACGGUACCUUUACGAAUAAGCCCCCGAGGG